GUCCCUGUAGUAUAUCGCACAUUACCCUGGUCUUGUAAACCAGAAAAGGGGGAAAAUAUUCCUCCCAAGGACU
rnacentral:tRNA from 1 species